rnacentral:rRNA from 1 species
AUUCCAGCUCCAAUAGCGUAUAUUUAAGUUGCUGCAGUUAAAAAGCUCGUAGUUGGAUUUUGGGUCGGGGGUACCGGUCCGGUGUUUCACUGUGCACUGGUCUCCCCUUCCUUUCUGCCGGGGACGGCGUUUGCUCUUUACUGAGCGGCGUCGGAGUCGGCGUUGUUACUUUGAAAAAAUUAGAGUGUUCAAAGCAAGCCAUCGCUCUGAAUACAUUAGCAUGGAAUAACAUGAUAGGACUCCGGUCUUAUUUUGUUGGUUUCCGAGACUGGAGUAAUGAUUAAGAGGGACAGUCGGGGGCAUCCGUAUUUCAUUGUCAGAGGUGAAAUUCUUGGAUUUAUGAAAGACGAACUUCUGCGAAAGCAUUUGCCAAGGAUGUUUUCAUCA